UACAGAGGGUGCAACCGUUGCUCGGAAUUAUUGGGCGUAAAGCGCGUGUAGGCGGCCCGUUAUGUCGGCUGUGAAAGCCCAUGGCUCAACCAUGGAAGUGCAGCCGAAACUGGCGGGCUAGAGUCCUGGAGAGGGUGGCGGAAUGCCCAGUGUAGAGGUGAAAUUCGUAGAUAUUGGGUAGAACACCGGUGGCGAAGGCGGCCACCUGGACAGCGACUGACGCUAAGACGCGAAAGCGUGGGGAGCGAACAGG
rnacentral:rRNA from 1 species